rnacentral:piRNA from 1 species
UACCCUUGUGAUAACCCUUGGGAAGGAGCC